UUUUUCGAAACAAUGCAAAGCUGU
rnacentral:misc_RNA from 1 species